rnacentral:piRNA from 2 species
GACUUUGGUAAGAGCUCCUCUGUGAACGUGU